rfam:Vitrella brassicaformis CCMP3155 genome assembly, contig: scaffold86
GCCUGGUUAGCUCAGUCGGUAGAGUGUUCGGCUCUUAACCGAAUGGUCAUGGGUUCGAGCCCCAUAUCAGGCU